rnacentral:sRNA from 1 species
AGAGAGAGGGGCUGAGAAGCUGUGGCAGGACAAGAUGGCAGAAAGGAAGUUGUUCCACAUUUUUCUACACUGGAGAUUACCCCCAAGUAUGAUGUAGUCCUCCUGCCUCUGCUGCACAGGCGCAUAGCACCACGUCCAAAUAGAGGUGUGUGUCAGAACUCAGGCGUUCUGGCACAGACGGGCGAAUCCACUGAUGGACACACAGCAUAACAACUAAGGGGAGUGGAGGCAACUGGCCUAAUUACGAAUGGAUAAAUUCUGAAUCCUGAUGACCGUGGGAACUUUCCAGAAGAGAAAAGUUGCACCACAAAGGCCGACCAGACUACAGGCACACACUGUCCAAGCCCUAGGCUCUUCAUAGACCUCCCAGAUGUCUGCUUUCUUUCUGUCACCAUUGAACCUGGUCUACAACUGGCAGCAUAAGACUUUUCACUUUUAUUUUUGAGACUGUAAUGUAGCUACAUCUUUUCCCCCUUCCCUUUCUUCCACCUAAACACAGCCUUCAGCCUUGACUUGUCUGGGUUCAGAGUUAAAAUUCUACCGUCUCCUCCUUCCCCUGCCUCCCAGGUCUCAUUGUGGAGCUUUGGCUGGUCCAGAACUUUCUAUGUAGACCAGGCUGGCCUGGAAUUCACAGAGAUCAGUAUUCCUCUGCCACCUGAGUGGCAGGAUCAAAGGCCUGUGGUAGGAGUGGUGGUAAAGGAUAGGAGGAGGGACACUAUGUCAGGUGUGUCAAGUGUGUAGCCUGUCUGGAAAGUAGGAUUUGCUCUAGGAAAUGGAAGAGGCAGAAGCUGCAGAGUAGCCCACAGGGAAAUGUGCUGGAUAAUGACAGCAUUCGCAUAGGGAACCCCAUGUGAUCCAGGGCUAUAAACAAGAUUUAUGAUUUUAGCACCAUGGCCUGGGCAGUGGGAAGGGCAGUGGGCAUGCAAGGUCUGGAGACCACUGCUAAUGUGCAACACUUCCCAGACACAAUGCUCCCAGCAUGGUGCUCCCAGCCAUGGUGCUCCCAGCCAC